AGUUUGAUCCUGGCUCAGAAUGAACGUUGGCGGCGUGGAUUAGGCAUGCAAGUCGCGCGAUAAGCUCCCGCAAGGGAGUGGAAAGCGGCGAAAGGGACAGUAAUGCGUAGAUAACCUACCCCCGGGACCGGGAUAGCUGCGGGAAACUGCAAUUAAUACCGGAUAACGUCUCCGGACCAAAUGGUGUGAUUCCGCCAGGGGAUGGGUCUGCGUCCUAUUAGCUAGUUGGCGUGGUAACGGCACACCAAGGCAAAGAUGGGUAGCAGGUGUGAGAGCACGACCUGCGUCACUGGGACUGAGACACUGCCCAGACACCUACGGGUGGCUGCAGUCGAGGAUCUUCGGCAAUGGGCGCAAGCCUGACCGAGCGACGCCGCGUGCGGGAUGAAGGCCUUCGGGUUGUAAACCGCUGUCAGAGAGGCGGAAAUAUAGGGGGGUUCUCCCUUCUAUUUGACCUAUUCUCAGAGGAAGUGCGGGCUAAGUCCGUGCCAGCAGCCGCGGUAACACGGACCGCACGAACGUUAUUCGGUAUCACUGGGCUUAAAGGGUGCGUAGGCGGCUUGGCAAGUUGGGUGUGAAAGCCCUCGGCUCAACCGAGGAAUUGCGCUCAAUACUGCCGAGCUCGAGAGAGACAGAGGUAAGCGGAACUAAUGGUGGAGCGGUGAAAUGCGUUGAUAUCAUUAGGAACACCGGUGGCGAAGGCGGCUUACUGGGUCUUUUCUGACGCUGA
rnacentral:rRNA from 1 species